UGGGUGGAGUCGGAGUGCGUCUCUUCGUCUACCGCUCGCUCUCGGUGGCCGCAAACCCUAGCCCUAGCCGAGCCCCUGAACGGCUAAACCUCCACCUCGCCCGCGAUCUCCUCCCCGAGGAGGAGGAGGAGGAGGAGGAGGCAGGCGGCGCCAUGGACGCGAUGAGGAAGCAGCUCGACGUGCUCAUGGGGGCCAACCGCAACGGCGACGUGCGGGAGGUCAGCCGCAAGUACUACGACCGCGACGUCUGCCGUCUGUUCCUCGCCGGCCUCUGCCCCCACGACCUCUUCCAGCUCACGAAAAUGGAUCUCGGGCCUUGCCCCAAAGUUCACUCGCUUCAGCUACGGAAAGAUUAUGAAGAAAUAAAGGCAAAAGGAACAGAAAAUUAUGAUAGGGAACUUGAGGAAAUGAUAGACAGGCUCAUCGUGGAGUGUGAGCGGAAAAUUCAGAGGGCUCUGAAACGUCUUGCUGAUGAGGAUGCCAAGGCUGCUAUUGCAAUAUCUGUUUCUGAGGUUACUCAGACAGAUGAGGUGUUGCAGCUGUCAAAGGAAAUCAAGGAAAAAAUGAAAGAAGUUGAUACCUAUGAUUUUGAAGGGAAAACCGAUGAUAAAAUCAAGUCCUUGGAAGUGGUGGAAGAAUUAAGAUCUAAAAGGGCUGACAUGCAGGCUACCCUCCUGCUUGAUGCCUUUAACAAGGACAGAGCCUCAUUGCCUCAGCCUACUCCAGCACCUCAGAUGGCAUCAGUGCCAGCACCUGCUCCCCCUGAUGCCCGCACUCAGGAAAUGAUCAAUGAAAAGAUAAAGAAGGCUGAAGAGCUUGGUGAACAAGGGAUGGUAGAUGAAGCACAAAAAGUUAUGGAAGAAGCAGAAGCUCUGAAAAAGUUGGCAGCACGGAGGGAGCCACCUUCAGAUUCUACUAAAUAUACCGCUGCUGAUGUUCGAAUUACCGAUCAGAAGCUACGCCUCUGUGACAUAUGUGGAGCCUUUCUAAGCGUCUAUGACAAUGACCGACGUCUUGCUGACCAUUUUGGAGGAAAGCUACAUUUGGGCUACAUGCUGAUUCGCGAGAAACUGAAAGAACUACAGGUGCUGAAUGUUAUGUACCCUUUACUGCUUUAAAGAGUUACUCUGUUUUGGGCCUUUUGGCAUCUGUGAGUUUUCUUAUCUCAAGGAAGAACCUUCAGGUUCUCACCUUUUCUAUAUAUUAUUUCAUUUCUCACAUUGGAGGGCACAGUGGUUACUACAAUAGUCAUUACAGGAACUAGUCAAUGUUGAAUAAUUGGAAUCUCAUGUGAUCAUCCCUUCUAUCCAUGGCAACAACAGCUGUCAUAUACAGUUGGCAAAUAUAAGCGUAGGAGUGUGCAAAACAUGGUAUGGACAAUCAUGUUUUCUUAACUGUGUCAAGCUGCUCAUAUAAUCUGCUUAGUAUUAUGUUGAUCAGAAGAUGGAGAUUUCUUUGUGCUGAGUGAUCCAUAUUUUGUAGAGAUGGUGAUAAAUAGUACCGGUUAAGUUACUCUGAAAGUGCACUCCUUUUGCCAUCUUUUACUGUAAGUUACUAUAAGUUUGUAAGUUGUAAAUUGCUGGAGCAAUUUUAGCGUAAUGUAUCCACUUCUCCUUUUAUUUUAUUUUAUUUUGUUGUUUUCCUUUAUCUGUUUCUCUGUAUGCAAAUUGAAACACUAAUAUCAUGAUUUUAUCAUUAUAAAAUAUUUUAUCCUGCCUUCCAGGAGGAGAGAAGUAAAAGGAGGAAGGACAAACCUGAAGAUGACAGGCGAUCAAGAGAAUACAGCAAAGACCGCAAUGGUCAGGCAUCCAGGGAUAGAGAUGCAGACAGAAGGGACAGAGUUGAACCUCGAG